rnacentral:tRNA from 1 species
GUCAAAAUGGCUAAGUGGUCAAGUCAUUCGUCUAUUAAUCAAAAGGUCUAGGGUUCGAUACCAGUUCUCAACG